rnacentral:SRP_RNA from 1 species
GCUGGGUGUGGUGGCAUGCGCCUAAAGUCCCAGCUACUUGGGAGGCUGAGGUUGGAGGAUUACUUGAGUCCAGGAGUUCUAGGCUGCAGUGUGCUAGGCCAAUUGGUUGUCCCCAAUCAGUUCGCCAUCAAUGUGGUGACUUUCCCAGAGUGGGGGACCACCACGUUGCCUAAGGAGGGGUGAACUGGCCCAGAUCAGAAACACAGCAGGUCAAAAUUCACGUGCUGAUCCAGUUUCUUCUAUGGUAUUGUCUCCUGCAUUUGUUUUGCUUGGGCUCAGGGCCU